UGCCAGUGCAGUAAGAGAAUUACACUUGAUAAGAAAAAUAUAUAGGCUUUGGACAAGUAAGAGAUAUCUUAAAACAAGUUGUGAAUUAGCUAUUCCAAGAACUCUGUUAAGUCAAAUAAAACCAAAAUAAGUCUAUAAGUGCUUUUUUUAAGUUUUCAUUUUUUCUUACUUUGAGAGAAAAGAUCUUAAAACAAGACCCACUAAACAAGAUACAUCUUUUUAAAAAAAAUCUUAAAACAGGACAAAGCAUGUACACCAAAUGAAAGCAGGUACAGUAUACUGUGUACAUGACGUUUAUUGGAAACAAACUCUCCAAACAGUAACAAAUAUUUCAGUCAAUCAUUGCACACAGAAAUUUAAAGACACAUUGUAAGUGUAACAUUGUUAUUUUGUGUUCCUUUUAGAACUGCUAAACCAGCUAGCUACUCAACAUAUAAAAUGUAAUAAAAAGAGUAUUUGCAAUUUUAAACAAGUUGCAGAACAGAUGUGUUUAAAGAAAAAAGUACUUUGUAUUACAUUAAUUAGAAUAAAAAAAAAAAAAAAAAAAAAAAGAAUUCAAGAGUAAAUUGCAACUUCAAAGCUAUCAGGCCCAAACCUUCCAACACAGACUAGAGCUGGGCGAUAUAUCGAGUUUUUAAAAAAUAUCGAUAUAUUUUUAUACGAGAUAUAAGAUGUGACAAUAUCUUUUAUAUCGAUAUAGUCUAUGUCACGUUAUAACUAUACUUGUCGAGCCGCAAGUUUGCCUCUCUUUCAUCCACUUUUGUCUUUACGCAACGUUACUCGGCCUCGCCUCUCCUUCACUGAAUACAACUCCCCCUCCUCCCCCAUCGCUUCACCUGCAGGAAGCAACAAGAUGGACACGGCAAAUCUCCGUUAACGAGUUACUGCGCAUGGCCCCAUGCGUGGGGCUGGACGGCGUCAAUGUGUUAGCUAGCUAACCACGCUAACGAGCUAACCACGCUAACGCCAUGCAGCCCAGAGGCGCUGCACAGCCUAAAAUCCUUUCAUUUUCUCAAAAGUUGACAGCGCGCCUUAUGUAUGAAUUCUGGUUGUGCUUGAUGGCCGCGAACCGAUUUUAUGUGGAACACGCUCAGCAAUCUGUCAAAAAAUGUUUUAGUACGACUUUGGUAAGCUACGGUGCUGCACCACUUGAUGGAUUGUCAGAGCAUUGCGGCUACCGAGGAGCCUCGCGGAGUGAUACGCACUGUGCUUCAACGUAAUAUUACCCUACUGUGUAUAAGGACG
ensembl:lncRNA